rnacentral:tRNA from 1 species
AGCAGAGUGGCCUAGUGGAAAGAGCAUAGGUUUGAGAGUCAGAGGACCUGAGUUCUAAUCCCAGCUCUGCCA